ACUGCGCAUGCUCCCCAGCUGGGCCGGCUGCGGACGCGGGAAGGGAGGUGGUGGCGACUGACGGAACUGGGUGAAGAUGGAGUCUCUGUCACCCAGGCUGGAGUGCAAUGGCGCAAUCUCGGCUCCCUGCAACUUCUGCCUCCCGGAUUCAAGCAAUUCUCCCGCCUCAGCCUCGCAAGUAGCUGGGAUUACAGGCACACACCACCAUGCCUGGCUAGUUUUUGUAUUUUUGUAGAGACAGGGUUUCGCUGUGUUGGCCAGGCUGGUCUUGAACUCUUGACCUCAGGUGAUCUGCCCACCUCGGCCUCCCAAAGUGCUGGGAUUCCAGGAGUGAGCCACUGCUCGUGGCCUGUAUUUUUUAUGGAAACAGAAAAGCCCAUCCUAAAGUUUACAGAAAAUCUCUCUCUCUCUCUCUGUCACUCUCUCUCUUUUUAUAAGACAUGGUGUCACUAUGUUGCCCAGGCUGGACUUGAACUCCUUGGCUCAAAUAAUCAUCUCACCUCAGCCUACUGAAUAGCUGGGAUUACAGGUGUGUACUACUCCACCUGUCUGUCAUAUGGAAUAUUAAGGAACCCUGAAUAGCUAAAAUAAUCUUGAAAAAGAAGACUAUAGUUGGAGGACUCACAGUUCCUGAUUUCAAAACUUACUACAAAGCCAUGGUAAUUAAACAGUGUGAUCUUGGCUUAAAGAUAGACAGAGAAACCAAUGGUAUAGAGAAGACAGCCAAGAAAUAAGCCACUGCAUAUAUCAUCAGUUGAUUUUUGACAAGGGCUCCAAAAAACCCUCUCCAGGGAAAGGGUAGUCUUAUUAAUGGUGCUGAGAAAACUGGAUAUCCACAUGCAAAAGAAUGAAGUUGGACUCUUCCGUUAUACCACAUACAAAAAUUGACUCAAAAUAAGUCAAAGACUUAAAUGUAAAAGCUAAAGCUAUAAAACUCGUAGAAGAAAACACAGGGGAAAACCUUCAUGACAUUGGAUUUGGCAGUAAUUUCUUGGAAAUGACACCAAAAGCACUGGCAAUAAAUGAAAAAAAUAGAUCAUUGAUGAAGAUGGUCAAGGAAUGCUAGUUCUGAUUUGGGAACAAACUCUGGACAUUACAGGCUGGCCUGAGCAGGGUGCUGACCCCAGCAAGCCCUAUGGGGCCACACAAGGGAGAUGGAAGGAGGAGUCUCAUAAAGGGCCAGGGAGAGGGACUGGGAAACCACUCUGGCUUUGCAGUUUUGCGUGGGCACCUCUUUGCAG
rnacentral:lncRNA from 1 species